rnacentral:misc_RNA from 1 species
UUGAAUUUUAAUGAAGAGUUUGGUUGUAGCUGGCCCAUUCAUUUGGGCAUGUGCACACCUUCCUCUUUCAUCCCACACACACCUGUGAACCUGUGAGACAGAGAUGGGGAAUUUACUUGCUGCUUUUUGGAAUACAGAGGCAAUAGGUUAUUGGACCCCCCCUCUGUCUACUCAAUUAAUAUAAACUCAAUUUAUUUUAAAACGAAUGUAAUGGAUGUAACACAUCUCAUAC